GGGGUAGGAGGCAGAGUCUAGAAAGUGAGAAAGAAGAGGAGGAAAGAGAAAAGGGGGAGAGAUAAAGAGUAGGGGAAAGAUUAAAAGGGGCGGAAAACUUAUAUGAGAAAGGUGGGUUCCGAUUUAGGGUUAAGGAGGUUUUUUAUUUUAAUUAUUUUAAACAAAAUAAAUAUUUCGACGGAAAUUCCGUUGAAAAUUAAACUUUUUGACAGAAUAUUCCGUCGUAAAGUACAAAUAUUCCUACGGAUUUAUAUUCUGUCGGAAAUUUCUGACAGAUUUCCGACGGAUUAUUUAAAUUUGUCGCAAAUUUUGGAUUUUUCGACGAAAUUAUGUUCGUCGGAACAUUUCCGUCGCAAAUCGACCUGAUUCUUAAGAGUGUUAGCAGGGGCUAAUGAGCUACAAGUAGCCGAUGUAGGAGAUAAAUUAAUAAGCAUUGAGACCAUAAAUAGUAUCAUGAUCAAGCAGUGGCUCUCUUGCACCUUCAAUCUAGAUUAAGUAUCUUCUUUUUCUACAGGUUACAGUGUAGUAUUAGCUUGGAUGAUUUAACAUUGGUAAAAAAAAAAAAAAAAACUAGACCUCAAAGCAUUACAUUGCACAAGCAUAUCCUGAUAUCCUCCUAAUAAUCAGAGUGAUGUAACAUUAUUUGACAUGAUAAAUAAACUUUAAUCAUUUAACCAUGAUGCAUUGUUUUUCCUGUGAGUUGUGAAUGUCAAAUUUAAAUUAACACAAUCUGAUAGCAGAGUAGAAAAUGAAAAGAGCCAAAACUUGUUCCGGUUAUGGAUAUCACUUUUAGUGAUAUUGGUUAUCGGGUACCCGAACCGUUAGUACUAACUGUACGAAUACCGGUCCCAUGCUCACCCCUACAUAGUAUCUAUUGUCUAAUUUUGGCAUCUACUAAGUACAUCAAUUAAGGCAAAUAACAUUUUUAAAUGCAAGUAUGCAACUAUUUUAAAUUAAAUCAUGUAUAAUUUUAGAAGCAACAAGAGAUCAAGACAUAAUUGAACAAAUUUUUCUAUGAGGCAUUUCAUCAAACAUGUACCGUGCAAACUUAGGUUUAAACUUUUCUUAAUCAUGGUGGACUAGUUGUAUUUGCAAGCUUAAUUUAAUAUUUCAGAUACAACUAGUCCACUAUUGCCAAGAAAAGUUUAAACCUUUAAAACCAAAAUUAAAAUUUUUAAUAAAACGAGAAACUUAGGAAAGUAAAAAAUUAAGUACUUUCGAAAUGACCAAAAAGUCGCGCAUAAAAAAGAGUCAAACAAUUCAAAUUCCAAGUUUGAUAAAACAAAAACCCUAAAUCCCAAUUGUUCUUGCAAAUUAGGAAAAAAAUGGAAGUGGGUGCGAAGAGAGAGAAGGAGAAGCAGAAGGAGAAUGAAAAACCUCCUUAUGUCGUUGCAAAAGAUGAUACCAAACCGGUUCUUCAAGAUCCUUUAUGGAGUUCAGACCCAACUCAAGCUGAACAAGCAGUGCUGCGGUUGCCACCAUUUCCCUUGAGAUCAAAAUCUUAGUUCAAUUUGAGAUGUUAAUCAUUGCUAUGUGUAAGAGGGGUUUUUUUUUUUUUUUUUUUUUUUUAAAUGCUACUUUUGUUGGUUUUUGAACUGAUGUACAAUUGAUUGAAUGGAGUGAUGUGCUAAUAUAAUUAUGAUUAUUUUAUGAAA